rnacentral:rRNA from 1 species
GGAGUUUGGUCCGUGUCUCAGUACCAAUGUGGGGGACCUUCCUCUCAGAACCCCUACUGAUCGUUGCCUCGGUGGGCCGUUACCCCGCCGACAAGCUAAUCAGACGCAUCCCCAUCCCUUACCGAUGAAUCUUUGCUCCUCAUCUGAUGCCAUCAAAGGAGAACAUAGAGUAUUAAUCCGACUUUCGCCGGGCUAUCCUCUAGUAAGGGGAAGGUUGGAUACGCGUUACUCACCCGUGCGCCGGUCGCCGGCAGUGUAUUGCUACACCCCGCCUGCCCCUCGACUUGCAUGUGUUAAGCCUGCCGCUAGCGUUCAUCCUGAGCCAUGAUCAAACUACU